UCUCCAAAUUUCAUGGCCAUUGAAGAGUUGUUUCUUGCCAUGAAUUGCAAUUUCCUAUUCUAUAAAAGAAUCACACUUCUUCAGCAUAAAGGGGGAACCAACUUUCAACCUUUCUUACGUAUAACACUUUCAGACCACGAAUCCUUAUUGCCUCUCCCACACAAUAAUACACGUACAAAACAUUCUCAGUCCCACUACACCACAAAUUGACAUUUUCUAAACAUAUCCUCAACCUGUACAAAUUUCAACUAACAAUCUUAUCACUUUUCUAACCCUUAUACUAUUCUCCUCUCACACGUACAAACUUGUUCUCACUAACCCAGCAAAUCUCACCAUUACAAACACCAAACCUUUAUCCUCCAAACAUCACCAAUAACAUAGCCAAAUUCAUCAUUGACCUUACCUUGAAAAUCUACAACAACAUUCUAAUAAAUCCAUCUCAAAUUUUCAUAAACUAAUCUACUAACAUAACAAGAUUUUCAUCAAACUAAUCAUAAAAAAUCAAAUUUUGCAACAACAACAUUUCAUGUUUUUUUUCAGGUAGUAAUCAGAGGUAGAAUUGAACGAGCACGGAAUCGGAAGCUACUCCACAUAUAAGUUACACUUCACUGAGUCGGAAUCGAUUCGCAGCUGGACAACAACCGCGUCGGACCUCCAUCAACCGCCGAUAACCCACGAACGGGAAACUUCGAUACCGUCCCCUUUCAUCGAGACAGAAUACCACGAAUACACAACAAUAACAACCUGCAAAAGAUUUACAUCAUAUUCGUCAAUAUUUAACAGCUUCUAACAUAUCAGAUUUUCUUUUUUGCAGAGGAGGCCAAAAAUCAAGAUCAACAACACCAACGCGGUUCAAAUUCUUCUUCAACGCAGCAGCUUCCGAUUUAUGACGUUCACCACCUUACAACCCCACACGGCACAACAUCCUUCCCGGCGCAAUUCGCACAGCCACCGGCCAAUCGCCGUAUCGGCUCAGUUCCUCCACCGAUCUCCGAUCCUCACCGUCGAUCCACAAUCACCGGACGUCAGCCUCCACAUCCGUCAACCGCCUUUUUCAUGAGGUCAAAUUACAUAGUUUUCUUCCUAUAAAAGUGGAUUAAAGAUAGAAGGUGAAUUUCCCCACGUGAUACUUCCUUUGUUUUUUUUUAUUAUUAAUUUAUUUUCUCUAUGAUUUAUUCAAUCUAUUUUAUAUAGUUAAUUUUAUUUGUUAGUUUAAUUCAAGCUAUUAUUAAAAAUGUAAAAAUUUAUAUUCUUUAGCCUUAGUCAAAUCAUGUAAUUUUGUUAGAAUUAAUUUAGCUAUUAGAUUUUAAAGCUAAUUUGGAGUAGUUGUCUUAUUAUUUAAAAAUGCUAAAAAUAUUUUUUAUUAGUUUAACAAAAAUCCAAAAUAGAUAUUUAGGUCUUGUAAAUAAAAUCAUUACAUGUAUAUAAAUUACUAAUGGACUAACUAAUAAAUCAAAAAGACAAAAACAUUUUCUUUUCAAGUUAAAAUUCACUUAACCAAUCAAUUUUUUUCUUAAUUCGAAUUUAAUAUGAUUAUUUUUCGGUAAUUUUGAUUCAUAUUCGUUCAUAUUUUUACCAAUUGCUCACACGUUAUUUUGGUGUUUUAUUACUAACUUUUUGCUUUGAUUGUGAAGUACUACACUCGCUCUUGGACUUUCGUGAACGUUCGCAAUUUUAUACUUAUAUAUUAUCUCUUUUUAUUUCCGCUUUAGUCUUCAUUCGGGUUUGUAAUGAUUUUCAUCCCCAUUUGUUAAAAUGUAAUCCCCUCCCCGAAGCCAUGUAAUAGCGUAGGAACCUUUAUUUUUCCGCAUUUUAAUUUUUUGUAAAUAUAUUAAUUGCUAGUAAUUAGGAUUGUAUGACAAGACUAACAAUUGAACGCUAGCCCACUAAUACUAGAUAAAAUACUUGAAUCUAACACACUCGCACACACUCACCUCUAGGGUACUCCCCUCUUGGUUGCCUUACGAAUAAAAAUGGUCAUGUCCCUCGAAUGUAGAGGUACUUUAGCAAACGAUGACCCUCGAAAAUAUCAUCAUAGAAAAGAUCUUAGUUCCUCGAUGUCCCUCGGAGCUGCCUGCGGUAAAAGAUCUUGUCCCUCGGAGUCUCUUCGAAAAAUGAUGAUAGUCCCAUGAAAUUGCUAAAGUAUCUCUACCUGUUGCCUUCAAUGACCUCGAUGACCCUUCGAUGACCCACACGUCCAAUAUAACAAGGACUACCUACUCCUAUAUAGUAUGGAUAGUUCUGGGAACUUUAAAAAUUACAGAAAAAGACCAAUCAAUUAGGGUAGUGCUCUUAAACUGCCUAGCUCAAUAAAAAACAUCUUUUCAAAACUCUUUCGAAAUACUAAGGCUACGCAUUUACGCUAAAGUCCUUAUGCCCCUUUUCAAUUCAAAACAAACAAAACAUGAGCUAAGCAAGUUAAGAGCCCGUAGAAAACUACGGAUGAAAAGGGUGCUUGCACCUUCCCUUUUCAUAACUUACCCCCCGAGCCCGUUUCUUUUAAAAAGGGUCUUUUUCUGUACUUUUUACCCUUCCUAACAUUGGACAAAAUAAAAGUCGGUGGCGACUCAUGCUCACCGCAACAUUGUUGCAUAUAAAAACAAAAGUCAGUUCACCGUGUUACAGGUCCUGUCAGCAGCUUGGGACUGAUUGGGCCUCCAAAGCUAAGUGGGCCGAAAGUAGGUUGGGCCAAAUCUUGGGCCAGCCCAGAACAAUUAUAAUAAAAUAUACGCGUAAUACUUGUUAAUUUCGCAAAAAAAGUUGAUAGACAUGGUUUGGUUUUUCAAAUACAAAUGACAAAUUCAACCAAAUCAAGGGAUUUUGUUAAGAAAAUAAAACUAACACAUCCGGAUCGAAUCAAAUUCGAUUUUUGCAAUUUCUAAUUUAAUUCGAUUAACUAUUUUCUAUUUUUCUAGUUUGAUUUUGAACACCUCUACUGCAGCUAGUACGUGCCUUUCAAAAUUCAAAAAGAUUGUAUCGAAUGAAUUACGUAGCAACUGAAUCUAUAAUAUAAGAAAAUUAAUGGCUCUGGAAAACUCAACUUUAACCUUUCUUCUUUACCCUCCACCUCAUUGAUUUAGGGGCAAAUUACGUCUAAAAUUUACUUUUUGUGACUAAAUUGUACUAUUGGUUACAACUCAAAUGUUCUUACUUUUAAUUGUUACAAAUUGCAAAGGUAUGUGAUUUUAGUAACUAAAGUAGGACAAAAUGAUAAUUGAUAAAGUACACCAUUGAUUACACAAACACUUUUUUGUUGCAUUGCUGGAAUAGAAACCAUCUGAUUUCUAAUGCUAUCCAUUAUUUUAUAAAAAAAAAAAGAAUUCAAAAGUUGCUUUUGUACUUCUAAAAUUACUUCUUCUUAUCUCUCUAUUCAUUUACUAAUAUUCUUUCUCUCUCUCUUUUAUCAUCUUUUCUAUUUUCCUUCUUUCUCUCUCUCUCUCUCCCACUCAUUUAACUCUUCCAUUUCUUCAAACUUCUCUCUUCUCUGUCAAAUCUACGUUCUUCCUCUUCUCUCUUCAUCCGACUUUUCCAUUUUUUAAUUCUUCUCUCAUGGUUCUUCUAUGGUGGCUUCAAACAUAACACACUACACCAAAUCUACUACAAAGCUUUUAUUUUGAAACCCUAACCGAUGUCACAAAUGGAAGUGAUGUACGCGCCUGUUUACUUCGAGAAAUUCGGUGUGCAUGGUGAUAUGAAAGUUGUUUCCAUGGAGGUUCUUGAAUCGAUCCGUAAGAAUAAGGUUUCAAUGGUUGUGUAUGUUUCCAACAGUUAUACGAAGAAGAUGGAGAUCUUUUUGUGGGUUAUGGCUUCAUUUCAAGCAAGUAAGUAGAAAAGGCUGUGCGCGGGUUGUGGAGGAAAUCUUCUUCUUUCCGAUGAGACUGAGAUGGUAGCUAAGAGUUGAGAGAUAUCUUCUACACCAUUUGCAAAAGGGUUCAGGGUGAUCUGCUUGCUAUAUCGACUAUGGUGAGAUUGUGAUUAUUUGUCGUGAUUGUGAACUUCAUUUGCUUGGAGCAAAGGGGUAUCAAUCAGAAUCAGGGAGACGGCGGCAGCUAAGGGGUAUCAAUCAUGAAUGUAAUGUAAUUCUGUUUUUCUUAAUCAUAUAGUGAAAACUCUCCAUAGGUUGCAGUUUUCAAUGUAUAUGAUAUAGUUUUCAUUCUCAUGGAUUCCAGGGCAAACAUGGAGUAUAAACAUUCACAAGAUUUUUGCAGGUGCAUGUGAUUAUUUGUGCAGUGGAGAGGUCCAACGAGUGAUUCCUAUUUUACAGAAAGCAUAUGGGGAUAACGUUUUGCAUGUUGGUCUUGAUACUUGCUAUGUGGUAUGUUGAUUGCAAAAGGAGGAUCAAACUGAAGCCUGGGGUAUAUACCCAUAUGAUGUAGAGUAAAUUGAUAGUAAUUGCAAAACACUGAUCCAUAGAGGCAUUGUGCGUGUCAAGGCAUUGUGAGUGUUAGCAGGAGUGUUCAUGGCUAUUCAUUGUACUUAUAUGGGGUUAAUUGAUCGAACCGAGGGGUAUAAUGUUCAUGUGUCUUCAGCAGUGGUUUUUCAAGUAUGCAACAGUUGUUCUUCCCAGUUUAGCCCUUGAGUAAAGUAUAUAUUUUGAGUGUUAGUCAAAGGGAGGCCAUAUAUAUCAUUCCUUUUAUUGCCUAUAUAAAGGUCUUAUUAGUGUUGUAAUUGGUUGAGUUUGUUUUGAUUGAGAAAUCUUAUAGAAGUCUUAUUAUUGUCUAUAUAGAGGUUUUUCGUGGAUUUGUGUUUUAUGUUGUUCACGCACUCCAGAAAAGUUUAAGAGUUGAAAUUUUCCAAUGUACUGGAUUG